UAGGGAAUAUUAGUAAUGGGCGAAAGCCUGAACUAGCAACACCGCGUGUGCGAAGAAGGCCUUCGGGUUGUAAAGCGCUUUUAGAGGAGAUGAGAAAGGACAGUAUCCUCUGAAUAAGCCUCGGCGAACUACGUGCCAGCAGCCGCGGUAAAACGUAGGAGGCUAGCGUUAUCCGGAUUUAUUGGGCGUAAAGCGCGUGCAGGCGGUCUGACAAGUUGGAUGUGAAAGCUCCUGGCUUAACUGGGAGAGGUCGUUCAAAACUGUUAGACUAGAGAAUGGGAGAGGGAGGUGGAAUUCCGGGUGUAGUGGUGAAAUGCGUAGAUAUCCGGAGGAACACCAGUGGCGAAAGCGGCCUCCUAGACCAUUUCUGACGCUAAGACGCGAAAGCUAGGGUAGCAAACG
rnacentral:rRNA from 1 species